rnacentral:rRNA from 1 species
ACGGACCAGACUCCUACGGGAGGCAGCAGUGAGGAAUAUUGGUCAAUGGGCGAGAGCCUGAACCAGCCAAGUAGCGUGGAGGAUGACGGCCCUACGGGUUGUAAACUCCUUUUGCAGGGGAAUAACGGCAGCCACGUGUGGCUGCGUGCAUGCACCUUGCGAAUAAGGAUCGGCUAACUCCGUGCCAGCAGCCGCGGUAAUACGGAGGAUCCGAGCGUUAUCCGGAUUUAUUGGGUUUAAAGGGUGCGUAGGCGGACGUUUAAGUCAGCUGUGAAAGUUCGGUGCUCAACGCCGGAAUUGCAGUUGAUACUGUAUGUCUUGAGUGCACAAGAGGCAGGCGGAAUUCGUGGUGUAGCGGUGAAAUGCUUAGAUAUCACGAAGAACUCCUAUUGCGAAGGCAGCCUGCUGGGGUGUUACUGACGCUGAUGCACGAAAGUGUGGGUAUCAAACAGGAUUAGAUACCCUGGUAGUCCACACAGUAAACGAUGAAUACUCGCUGUCGGCGAUAUACUGUCU